rnacentral:misc_RNA from 1 species
GCAGGUCCUUGCAAAAUGCUGCAAGAGCUUCAAGUCCAAUAUCCUCAAUGUAAUCCAGAACCCAUAGGCGCUGCAAACUUUGACACUGACUAACAAGCUUAACAAGAUCAGGGCUUUGGAUAGNUAGUGGCAUAGCUCAAAUUCAGUGAUGUUAGGCUAGGGCAAAUAGGAUAAAUUGCCGGAAGGUAACCUGGGACCGCAUCCCAAAACCCAGAUAAACUUCUCAGUUCCUUGCCAGAAAAAGCUCCAGCUAGGCUUGAGAAGACAUCAGGCUGCAGCUCAGCUGAGUAGGUGCCUGUGCCCAACUCAACCAGCUGGGGCGCCCUGCAAAGAAUGUUAGCAAGCCUGUCAAGAGGCACAGCACGGUUGAGCCGAAGAGUCCUCAAAUUGGGGCACCGACCCACCAGG